rnacentral:rRNA from 1 species
UUCGGACCUCCAAUCAA